CUUUGGUUUGCGGAGCGGUCGGGUGUAUUCUCCGCCGCCCCCACGCCCUCGAGGUCCCCGCCACCGAACCAGCGGCGGAGCCCGCCCGCGCCUCCCGCGGCAUUCCCGCACCGGAUCGCUCCUCGCUGGGGCGGGACCUGGCCUGGCGGCUCUGGUCACUAUGAGUGAAACAUCUUUCAACCUAAUAUCAGAAAAAUGUGACAUUCUAUCCAUUCUUCGGGACCAUCCUGAAAACAGGAUUUACCGGAGGAAAAUCGAGGAACUCAGCAAAAGGUUCACCGCCAUCCGCAAGACCAAAGGGGAUGGGAACUGCUUCUACAGGGCCUUGGGCUAUUCCUACCUGGAGUCCCUGCUGGGGAAGAGCAGGGAGAUCUUCAAGUGAGUGCCGGGGCCCCUUGGCCUGUCAGGGCUGUGUUCUCUGUGCUAGGUCAGCCUCAAGUCUCUCGGAGGUUUUCGUUACACUCAGGCUGGUUAACCCAGAGAAUGAGCUGAAGAGCUGCCUGGCAGAGGCGUUUGAUGUUGGGGGUGCCCAGCUGCCUGCUGUGGUGAAGUUGGGGGCAGCCAAGGGGUGGAGGAUGGAAUCUGUGACCUCCCAGAUGCUUUCCAGCCUCUGCUUCCACCACAGGCCUGGGUCAGCCCAGGUGAGUCGCAGGGAGCAGGUACUUCGUGACCCACUCUGAAAAGAAAAGAAAAGACAAACAAAAAGAA
rnacentral:lncRNA from 10 species